CUACCAUGCAGUCGAGCGGAUGAAGGGAGCUUGCUCCUGGAUUCAGCGGCGGACGGGUGAGUAAUGCCUAGGAAUCUGCCUGGUAGUGGGGGAUAACGUCCGGAAACGGGCGCUAAUACCGCAUACGUCCUGAGGGAGAAAGUGGGGGAUCUUCGGACCUCACGCUAUCAGAUGAGCCUAGGUCGGAUUAGCUAGUUGGUGGGGUAAAGGCCUACCAAGGCGACGAUCCGUAACUGGUCUGAGAGGAUGAUCAGUCACACUGGAACUGAGACACGGUCCAGACUCCUACGGGAGGCAGCAGUGGGGAAUAUUGGACAAUGGGCGAAAGCCUGAUCCAGCCAUGCCGCGUGUGUGAAGAAGGUCUUCGGAUUGUAAAGCACUUUAAGUUGGGAGGAAGGGCAGUAAGUUAAUACCUUGCUGUUUUGACGUUACCAACAGAAUAAGCACCGGCUAACUUCGUGCCAGCAGCCGCGGUAAUACGAAGGGUGCAAGCGUUAAUCGGAAUUACUGGGCGUAAAGCGCGCGUAGGUGGUUCAGCAAGUUGGAUGUGAAAUCCCCGGGCUCAACCUGGGAACUGCAUCCAAAACUACUGAGCUAGAGUACGGUAGAGGGUGGUGGAAUUUCCUGUGUAGCGGUGAAAUGCGUAGAUAUAGGAAGGAACACCAGUGGCGAAGGCGACCACCUGGACUGAUACUGACACUGAGGUGCGAAAGCGUGGGGAGCAAACAGGAUUAGAUAC
rnacentral:rRNA from 1 species